AUGGCCACACAUCUAGAUCUGUCUUCCGAAUUAUCAAUCUUUGAAUUCAGAUGUAUAAUGUGCAGCUGUAAGCCAGUAAACGAGCUCAUGUUACGAUUGAGUUUGAGAAAAAUGACAAAUAAGAUCAGAUUUUUUUUUUUUACUUGUAAAUGUAAUUCGAAAAUAUGUUUGUUCGACUAUUUUUAUAUACCAGUUCUUACGUACUCGAUGCAAACAUUUAUCAGUUAUCAGAAGGGUUCAUGUUAUCACGUGUACCUACCCAAAAAAAAGGUUAUCGGCUUAUCGCCUGUUAUGUGUCAUACAACUCCAAACAAGCAUAAAACUUUGCAUAAUGUCAAUUGA